rnacentral:tRNA from 1 species
GCUUUUAAAGGAUAACAGCGCAUCCAUUGGUCUUAGGAACCAAAAACUCUUGGUGCAAAUCCAAGUAAAAGCU